UCCCUUUUCCAAGUAAAAGAGAAAGACGUAUUUAAUGGGUCCAAAAGUUCCUUAAGAAAAGCGAAUAUUGGUUUACGCUAUCAAAAAGAUAAUUAAAAAAAAAGUUUAAUGGAGUUGCAGCAUCUCAAAUUUCCAGAUUACCGUGGGGAAACGAUCAAAGUAAGAAGCUACAAGUGGUAACGUCAACAUUUUAUUUCUUUUUCGAUUCCUGGCAGGGAAUUAUUCCAGUUCAAAGUCUUACCAUUUGGACUGCAUUCUGCAUUCCAGAGACUUUAGGACAGAAUUUUAGGACCAGAAAUGGACAAAAAGGAAGUGUUACGACCUCUAGGAAGCCAUGGGCUUCAAUUACCGGAAGAUAAAUGCAUGUUUGAUAAGACAGAGCUGGAGUACUUGGGUGGGUUGGGACGAUAUAAAUCCAGACCCAGAAAAGUGGAGGCUAGAGUAAAGAUGGAACCAACACGAACGGUAAAAGCACUCCGAAGAUUCUUCGGAAUGGCAACGCGGUACAGGACAUUCAUCACUCAAUUCUCUCAGUUGAUCUACCCCCUGAUCAGUCUCCUAAAAAAGGGCGUGAAGUUUAAUUGGGAUCCAGAGCAACAGACAACUUUCAGAAAUUAAAAGCAAAAUGUGCCACAACACCAAUCCUGAUUUCUACCAUAAAUUUAGUCUACAAACCAUUGCUAGUUCUACCGGAUUAGGGGCAGUAUUAAUCCAACAACACGAAGGAAAAGAGAAGUCAUCGCUUAUGAAUGCUUUGCAGUCGUCUGGGCGGUGGAGAAACUGAAGCGUUACCUAGAAGGGUAUCCACUUGCCACGGAUCAUUGCAGCUUAAAAUGGUUAAAAAGUGUGCAAAAUCCCACUGCCAGAAUAGACAGAUCUGGGAUUUCUCAACGGUGAAACCUGCUUAUCUUCAAACUUAACUUUACACAGCGAUUAAAAAAUCUCUUAUCGCAAUGACCGGAGAUAAACUUUGGAAUAACACAAUGCAAUU